AAAAAUUCCCUCUCAAAAAAAUUACAAAACCCCUCUCCUCAGAUUACCCCUAAAAUUUCUCUCGGUUUCUCGUUCCAGAUUUUUCUUUUCUUCUCUCGCUUCCCAAAACCCCUCUCUUCAAAGGUACUUCCUCUCUUUGUUCCAAGGUCCAUUGUUGUUUUCUUAUUUUUGUUUUAAUUAAUCGAAUCAUCAUCUUCGUUUUCUUUUUUCUUCUUUUUAUGUAUAUAUUCGGACAAAAUCAAUACACACUUGAUACAAGCAUGUGUUUUGCUUGCAGGGUAUACAGCGAGACGAAGAAAUUCGAAGGAUUCAAAAAGAAAAUAAGGCCAGGACCUAUAGUGUAAAGAAUAAAGAAAUUCGAAGCAAGCAAGUUAUUCCACACACUGGUGGAUCUAAAGCUAAUCCUAGAAGAAGAAAUGAGUUGUUGUUAGAAACUGGGAAGCUACCAAGUCGUUGACAAUUAUAUAUUGAAACUCAUAAAAGCAAAGAUGGAUCAUUUAUAAAUGAAGCAGCAAAGACUAUAGCGGAACAAAUUGAAGUAGGAUUGACUCAAAGCAUAGUUGAUGAAUCUGAAGUUUCUCCUCUUGAUGUUGUUGGUAGAGUGUUAGGGUUAGAGCACUCUGGGAGAGUGCGAUGCAUGGGAUUAGGAGUUGUUCCUUCUAAUACAUUCAAAAACACAAGACUUCGAGCUUCUAGUCUGAGCUCUUCUUCAUCUGGUGUUGCCUUUCCAUCUUCAAACCAAUGGCAAGAGAAAUACAACAAUUUAGAAUCAGCUUUUAAGGCCUACAUGAUAAUGAAGGAAGGAAGGAUCCCUGAAGAAUUAGCUAGUUAUUUCACUCCUGAUCAAACACAUUCAAAUGAUGUUUCAAGUGUUCCUAAUACACCUUUGGAUGCAAGAGGAUCUUCUGGUGCUAGCAACCCUUAGUUUGCUUAUAAUGUAUUUUGGAUUUAAAGUUUAGUACAAUACUA